rnacentral:tRNA from 2 species
GCCCUUGUAGUUUAACGGAUAAAACACAAGAUUCCGGUUCUUGAGCUGGGGGUUCGAUUCCCUCCAAGGGCG